rnacentral:rRNA from 1 species
CCUACGGGAGGCAGCAGUCGAGAAUCAUUCACAAUGGGGGAAACCCUGAUGGUGCGACGCCGCGUGGGGGAAUGAAGGUCUUCGGAUUGUAAACCCCUGUCAUGUGGGAGCAAAUUAAAAAGAUAGUACCACAAGAGGAAGAGACGGCUAACUCUGUGCCAGCAGCAGCGGUAAUACAGAGGUCUCAAGCGUUGUUCGGAAUCACUGGGCGGAAAGCGUGCGUAGGCUGUUUCGUAAGUCGUGUGUGAAAGGCGCGGGCUCAACCCGCGGACGGCACAUGAUACUGCGAGACUAGAGUAAUGGAGGGGGAACCGGAAUUCUCGGUGUAGCAGUGAAAUGCGUAGAUAUCGAGAGGAACACUCGUGGCGAAGGCGGGUUCCUGGACAUUAACUGACGCUGAGGCACGAAGGCCAGGGGAGCGAAAGGGAUUAGAUACCCUAGUAGUC